rnacentral:rRNA from 1 species
GUAGAAAAAUUUAUUUAAAUAAUUUUUAUUUAUAUCUUAAUUAAAAUAAUAUUUAUUUUAUUAAAAAAUAGAAAAAAUUAAAUUUAUUAUAGUUAAUUAGUAUUGAAAAAGAAAAUUUUUAAAUUUUUAAAAGAAGAUUUAAAAUUGUACCUUGUGUAUCAGGGUUUAUUAAUUAAAAAUUAAUUAUUUCUUAAUUUUCUCGAAUUUAAAAGAGCUAAAAAUUUAUUAAUUUUAUUGUGUCAUAAAUAUUUAAAAUAUUUUUUUAGUAAUGAAAUGUUAAUCGUUUUUAAAUAUAUCUAGUUUUUUUAGAAAAAAAUUCAAUUUUUUAUAUAAUUUUAAUUUUAAAGAUUUUAUUUUAAUUUAAAUUAUAUUAAUAAAAUUUUAGGGAUAAGCUUGAAAUUUAAAUUUUAAAAUUUAAUUAAUUUUUGAAUAAAUUGUAGAAUUAAAAUUUUUUUUCAUUUAAAGGAUUUAAAAAUUUGUUAUUAGUUUAUAAAAAUUUAUAUUAAGUUUAAUUUUUAUAUAAAAAUGUUAAAUUAAAUUUUUAAUUUUAAGUAAUAAUGAUAGAAUUAGUAUAAAAUAAUGUUAAUUUAAAAAUUUAAAAAAAUUUAAAAUUAAAGAAUUCGGCAAAUUAUUUUCCACCUGUUUAUUAAAAACAUCUCUUUUUGAUUUUAAUUUAAAGUUUGGCCUGCCCACUGAAUUUUGAAGGGCCGCAGUAUUUUGACUGUGCAAAGGUAGCAUAAUCAUUAGUUUUUUAAUUGAAAGCUUGUAUGAAUGGUUUGAUGAGAAAAUUACUGUUUCAAUUUUAUUAAUAGAAUUUUAUUUUUAAGUUAAAAAGCUUAAAUAAUAUUUAAAGACGAGAAGACCCUAUAGAGUUUGACUAAAUAUAAAAUUAAUAAUUUUAGAAUUUUAAAUUUUUAAUUUAAUUUAAGUUUUGUUGGGGUGACAAAAAAAUUAAAUUAACUUUUUUUUUAUAUAAACAAUUAUAAUUGAAUAAUUGAUCCAUAAAAAUGAUUAUAAGAUUAAAUUACCUUAGGGAUAACAGCGUAAUCUUUUUAAUAGUUCUUAUUGAAAAAAAGGUUUGCGACCUCGAUGUUGGAUUAAAAUUUAUUUUUGGUGUAGAAGCUAAAAUAUUAGGUCUGUUCGACCUUUGAAAUUUUACAUGAUCUGAGUUUAAACCGGUGUGAGCCAGGUUGGUUUCUAUCUUAAACAAAAAAAAUAUUUUAGUACGAAAGGAUCAAAUAUUAUAUUAAAAAUAUUAAUUAAGAAU